CUGCAGCCAAUUACGCCAACUGUGCUCUUUCUCCAUGGGGGCCCAGUGUGCCAUGGCUGCAAAUGGUAGCCUCCCUGGUAGUGUAAACAGCCUGUUGAUUUUAUGGGUUACCCGAAGGGACCUUGGAGAUAGCC
ensembl:snoRNA SNORA70 Small nucleolar RNA SNORA70